rnacentral:snRNA from 1 species
AUCGCUUCUCGGCCUUUUGGCUAAGAUCAAAGUUUAGUUUCUGUUCUUCUUGAAUUAAACUUCGCUAGAAUCUCCGACGAGUU